rnacentral:misc_RNA from 1 species
AAGUCGUAACAAGGUUUCCGUAGGUGAACCUGCGGAAGGAUCAUUAGAGAUGGGGUAUUUUACCGUGUGAAGAGUUUGGGGGAGAGGUUGGGGAUGGUUGUGUGGGAUUGAUAUGAUUGGUUUGUGAUUGAAUUUAUUUUGUUUGGAUAUGUUAACUUGUUAUGGAUCUGUUUUGUUUGAUAUGUUUGACAUUUUUAUGUUAUUCGUCUUUCAUUAUGGGGUGCUAAUUUAUGUUAUUUCGUCUUUCAUUAUAAUUCAAUCUGUCAGUAUCAAUCAGCCAAUCAACCAAUCAUUUCAUUCUAAUCUACCCAAUCAUAUAUACUAUUCGUCAAAUC